rnacentral:rRNA from 1 species
GUGGGGAAUAUUGGACAAUGGGCGAAAGCCUGAUCCAGCCAUGCCGCGUGUGUGAAGAAGGUCUUCGGAUUGUAAAGCACUUUAAGUUGGGAGGAAGGGCAGUAAGUUAAUACCUUGCUGUUUUGACGUUACCGACAGAAUAAGCACCGGCUAACUUCGUGCCAGCAGCCGCGGUAAUACGAAGGGUGCAAGCGUUAAUCGGAAUUACUGGGCGUAAAGCGCGCGUAGGUGGUUUUGUAAGUUGGAGGUGAAAUCCCCGGGCUCAACCUGGGAACUGCCUCCAAAACUGCAUGACUAGAGUACGGUAGAGGGUAGUGGAAUUUCCUGUGUAGCGGUGAAAUGCGUAGAUAUAGGAAGGAACACCAGUGGCGAAGGCGACUACCUGGACUGAUACUGACACCGAGGUGCGAAAGCGUGGGGAGCAAACAGGAUUAGAUACCCGGGUAGUCC